UGGACGAGACCAGCACGGAGAGAGCCGCAAGCCACGGCCGUGCUUGAGAGCGGCUGCUCGAGAGGAGCCGGGCAGGGGCGUGCUCGAGAGCUCCUGCUCACGCGAAGACGGGUGACGACGAGCCUGACGAGGACGAGUCGGAGCAGAGGAUGGCCGGAGAUCGAGGAUGGGAUCUAGCGACUAGGAUGGAGCGCACGGAGUUGCAUCGUGCGGGAGAGGGAAGAACCUAACAUCUGAUACCAUGUUGGAUAAUGAGCAACUAGUAUUUUCUGAGGGCCAAAGGCCAUUACAUAUACAUGUGUGUGAAAGUGCAGAAAAGCCCCUUAUACAAUGGGGAUGUACACAAUAAACUAUACACAUCUAACAACAAGAACUUGGAAUUUAUAGGACAACAAAGUGUACAUUCUAAAAUCUGAACUAACACAAAUAUUCUUUGUUGCCUGUGCAUUUUCCUCCCCUGAAAGAUAAUACUGUUGCCCUCCAUCUGAUUCUUUCCUUCCUCAUUUACUCGAGGAAUUACAUUAUCUUUUUUUUUUGCGACAGCUGGUUUAGUAGGCCUGACUUGUGAUCAAACUUGGUGGUGGUUCUGCAUGGUUGAAGACUUUAUUUCUCGCGUGGAGGUAUUUUGGCCGAAGGAACUGAAUUUUUUCCAGUUCCUAAGCACUUACCUCGUGUUUGCUUCUAAAGCAUACGUGAAUUAGGUGCCGGUUUGGAUCAGUUACAAUGGUGCGGUAGAGCAGAUUGGUUCAGACGUGUUGCAUGGGAAGCAAUUUCUUGAAUGUCAUUGGGAGUGCCUGGCUGACGUAUGCGGUCAUCGGGAGCGGUUGUAUUGUUUGGUCCUCGACAAUUUUGACUGAAGAUUCCUGGGCUUUACCAUUGCGAAAUCAUGUGAGAAGAGGUGUUCCAAGAAUUCUUUUGAAAGGCAUGUGUAUACAGGCCAUUUGUCUUACUACAAUUUUUCUUUUUGUCUUUGUGAGUUGCUGAAAAGAUCUUGAGAUGUUUGAUUGGUUUCAACUCAGUUGAAGUUGUUAGGAUGAUUUGGUUGCAUCUUCUGGGAA